AUGAGCUUCCUUAAAAGUUUCCCGCCGCCCAGGCCGGCCGAUGGCCUUCGGCAGCAGCAGCCAGAUACCGAGGCUGUGCUGAACGGGAAGGGCUGGGCACCGGGACCCUCUACAUCGCUGAGAGCCGCCUGUCUUGGUUAGAUGGCUCUGGAUUAGGAUUCUCACUGGAAUACCCCACUAUUAGUUUACAUGCUGUGUCCAGGGACCUAAACGCCUAUCCACGAGAGCAUUUGUAUGUAAUGGUGAAUGCCAAAUUCGGAGAAGAAUCAAAAGAAUCUGUUGCUGAUGAACAAGAGGAAGACAGCGAUGAUGAUGUUGAACCUAUUACUGAAUUUAGAUUUGUGCCUAGUGAUAAGUUAGCAUUGGAGGCGCUGUUCACUGCCAUGUGUGAAUGCCAGGCCUUGCAUCCAGAUCCUGAGGAUGAAGAUUCAGAUGAAUAUGAUGGAGAAGAAUAUGAUGUGGAAGCACAUGAACAAGGACAAGGGGACAUCCCUACAUUUUAUACCUAUGAAGAAGGAUUAUCCCAUUUAACAGCAGAAGGCCAAGCCACAUUGGAGAGAUUAGAAGGAAUGCUUUCUCAAUCUGUAAGCAGCCAGUAUAAUAUGGCAGGGGUCAGGACAGGAUUCAAUAGGAGAUUAUGAAGAUGGGAUGGAGGUGGAUACCACACCAACAGUUGCUGGACAGUUUGAGGAUGCAGAUGUUGAUCACUGAAAAUGUUGAUCAUUGCUUUAAGAUUCUGCUGAUAACUGUAGGAGAGAACUUGGUGCCUCUUCCACUCUGGAGUGGGGUUGAUGACAGUCUUUUUCUUUCUCCAAAACUCAUCUGAACCAGUUCUUUCUCGAGACAGACUAUAUUGAGACAAGUUGUCACCAGCAGAAGAUACUAUGACCUU